UGAGUGUAUAACAGAGCUCCACAUCAAUAAUACUCCCAGUAAUGUGAGUGUAUAACAGAGCUCCACAGCAAUAAUACUCCCAGUAAUGUGAGUGUAUAACAGAGCUCCACAGCAAUAAUACUCCCAGUAAUGUGUCUGAGGGUAUAGCAGAGCUCCACAGCAAUAAUACUCCCAGUAAUGUGACUGAGUGUAUAACAGAGCUCCACAGCAAUAAUACUCCCAGUGAUGUGAGUGUAUAACAGAGCUCCACAGUAAUAAUACUCCCAGUAAUGUGUCUGAGUGUAUAACAGAGCUCCACAGCAAUAAU